rnacentral:lncRNA from 1 species
UUGCUCUCGGCCUUAGCGCCAUUUUUUUGGAAACCUCUGCGCCAUGAGAGCCAAGUGGAGGAAGAAGCGAAUGCGCAGGCUGAAGCGCAAAAGAAGAAAGAUGAGGCAGAGGUCCAAGUAAACCGCUAGCUUGUUGCACCGUGGAGGCCACAGGAGCAGAAACAUGGAAUGCCAGACGCUGGGGAUGCUGGUACAAGUUGUGGGACUGCAUGCUACUGUCUAGAGAAAAUGCCCAUGUUGGUCCUCUGCCCUGUGACAUUCUGGACUAUUUCUGUGUUUAUUUGUGGCCGAGUGUAACAACCAUAUAAUAAAUCACCUCUUCCGCGGUUUUAGCUGAAGAAUUAAAAAAAAUAAAAUAAA